AUACGGAGGAUCCGAGCGUUAUCCGGAUUUAUUGGGUUUAAAGGGAGCGUAGAUGGAUGUUUAAGUCAGUUGUGAAAGUUUGCGGCUCAACCGUAAAAUUGCAGUUGAUACUGGAUAUCUUGAGUGCAGUUGAGGCAGGCGGAAUUCGUGGUGGAGCGGGGAAAUGCUUAGAUAUCACGAAGAACUCCGAUUGCGAAGGCAGCCUGCUAAGCUGCAACUGACAUUGAGGCUCGAAAGUGUGGGUAUCAAACAGGAUUAGAUACCCUGGUAGUCCACACGGUAAACGAUGAAUACUCGCUGUUUGCGAUAUACUGCAAGCGGCCAAGCGAAAGCGUUAAGUAUUCCACCUGGGGAGUACGCCGGCAACGGUGAAACUCAAAUGAAUUGGCGGGG
rnacentral:rRNA from 1 species